rnacentral:rRNA from 1 species
GUGCCAGCAGCUGCGGUAAUACGGAGGGUGCAAGCGUUAAUCGGAAUUACUGGGCGUAAAGCGCACGCAGGCGGUCUGUUAAGUCAGAUGUGAAAUCCCCGGGCUCAACCUGGGAACUGCAUCUGAUACUGGCAGGCUUGAGUCUCGUAGAGGGGUAGAAUUCCAGGUGUAGCGGUGAAAUGCGUAGAGAUCUGGAGGAAUACCGGUGGCGAAGGCGGCCCCUGGACGAAGACUGACGCUCAGGUGCGAAAGCGUGGGAGCGAAACAGGAUUAGAUACCCUGGUAGUCCACGCCGU